GAGACUGCCGGUGUUAAGCCGGAGGAAGUGGGGAUGACGUCAAGUCCUCAUGGCCUUUAUGCCCAGGGCUACACACGUGCUACAAUGGGUGGUACAAAGAGAUGCCAACUCGCGAGAGCGCGCCAAUACUCCAAGAAAGCCAUCCUCAGUUCGGAUUGGAGUCUGCAACUCGACUCCAUGAAGUUGGAAUCGCUAGUAAUCGCGGAUCAGCACGCCGCGGUGAAUACGUUCCCGGGCCUU
rnacentral:rRNA from 1 species